CUGUUUCAGCAGCAUAUCUACUAAAAUUGGAAUGAUGAAGAGAAGAUUAGCAUGGCCUCUGUACAAGGAUGACACACAAAUUUGUGAAAAAAUAGCAUACUUU
ensembl:snRNA U6 U6 spliceosomal RNA